UCCUUGGUGGCUCAGUGGUAAAGAAUCUGCCUGCCAAGCAGAGAUGCAGGUUCAAUUCCUGGGUCAGGAA
rnacentral:tRNA from 1 species